CGGCCGCGUCGACGCAGCAGGUCUCCUAGGUUAACAGCCUCAGUUGAUAGAAUAAUGUGGAUAAGGGAAUUCGGCAAAAUGGAUCCGUAACUUCGGGAUAAGGGAUUGGGCUCUAAGGGUUGGGUAUAUCGGGCCCCUGGCGGGAAGCCGCUGAUGCUGGACUGGACUGCUGUGUGGCAACAUGCGGUGGACCGGACCGGCGUCGGCGUGUGGACGGCCAGGGCAGUCCCUCGGGACGGCCGGUAUACAUUUAACAACCAGCUUAGAACUGGUACGGACAAGGGGAAUCUGGACUGUCUAAUUAAAACAUAGCAUUGCGAUGGCCAGAAAGUGGUGUUGACGCAAUGUGAUUUCUGCCCAGUGCUCUGAAUGUCAAAGUGAAGAAAUUCAACC
rnacentral:rRNA from 1 species